rnacentral:rRNA from 1 species
AGAUGGCGACCGGCGCACGGGUGAGUAACACGUAUCCAACCUGCCGAUAACUCGGGGAUAGCCUUUCGAAAGAAAGAUUAAUACCCGAUGGUAUAAUCAGACCGCAUGGUCUUGUUAUUAAAGAGUUUCGGUUAUCGAUGGGGAUGCGUUCCAUUAGGCAGUUGGUGAGGUAACGGCUCACCAAACCUUCGAUGGAUAGGGGUUCUGAGAGGAAGGUCCCCCACAUUGGAACUGAGACACGGUCCAA